GAGGAAGGGCAAGUCGAAGAACGCGGGCGCGAGGCGAUGAUUGAGGUCGCGCGCGGCGCCUGGCCGCAGAUCGUUGUCAUCGCCGUGCGCACCACUAUCAC
rnacentral:SRP_RNA from 1 species